rnacentral:lncRNA from 10 species
AGCCCAGCAUGCGCCCCCUCCCACACAUCCAGGACAGGGAUCUGGACGGCUGUGGGUUCAGGUCAACAAAUGUCCAUGGAGUCACCCAUCAAUCCAAGGCUCCCAGCAGAAGGCAGACAGUGUGACUUGGCUACAGGCUUUGCCAUUCGCUGCCUGUGAGACACAAGCAAGUAGGCGAAGAUAUCCAAGCCUCAGUUCUCAUGAAGCAUCAGAAUGAUGGUAUGAUUGAGCAUGGGGCUGUUGGAAGGAUAAUGAGUACCGCUGGCAGGAGCCAAAGGUUCACCAUCACGCUGCUUUGGGGGCUGAGCAACCUUUACUGAUAGGCAAGAUCACUGACAUAGACA